GGAGGAAAAGAAACCAACAGGGAUUGCCCUAGUAACGGCGAGUGAAGCGGCAACAGCUCAAAUUUGAAAUCUGGCCCUCGGGUCCGAGUUGUAAUUUGUAGAGGAUGCUUUUGGCGCGGUGCCUUCCGAGUUCCCUGGAACGGGACGCCUUAGAGGGUGAGAGCCCCGUACGGUUGGACACCAAGCCUCUGUAAAGCUCCUUCGACGAGUCGAGUAGCUUGGGAAUGCUGCUCUAAAUGGGAGGUAAAUUUCUUCUAAAGCUAAAUAUUGGCCAGAGACCGAUAGCGCACAAGUAGAGUGAUCGAAAGAUGAAAAGCACUUUGAAAAGAGGGUUAAACAGCACGUGAAAUUGUUGAAAGGGAAGCGUUUGCGACCAGACCUUUUCCUAGCGGAUCAUCCGGUGUUCUCACCGGUGCACUUUGCUAGGUCUAGGCCAGCAUCGGUUUCUGUAGGGGGAUAAAAGCUCUGGGAACGUAGCUCCUCCGGGAGUGUUAUAGCCCUCUGCAUAAUACCCUUACGGGGACCGAGGACCGCGCUUCGGCAAGGAUGCUGGCGUAAUGGUCGUCAACGACCCGUCUUG
rnacentral:rRNA from 1 species